CUACGUGCCAGCAGCCGCGGUAAUACGGAGGGUGCGAGCGUUAAUCGGAAUAACUGGGCGUAAAGGGCACGCAGGCGGUUAUUUAAGUGAGGUGUGAAAGCCCCGGGCUUAACCUGGGAAUUGCAUUUCAGACUGGGUAACUAGAGUACUUUAGGGAGGGGUAGAAUUCCACGUGUAGCGGUGAAAUGCGUAGAGAUGUGGAGGAAUACCGAUGGCGAAGGCAGCCUCCUGGGAUAACACUGACGUUCAUGCUCGAAAGCGUGGGUAGCAAACAGGAUUAGAUACCUUGGUAGUCCACGCCCUAAACGAUGUCAAUUAGCUGUUGGGCAACUUGAUUGCUUAGUAGCGUAGCUAACGCGUGAAAUUGACCGCCUGGGGAGUACGGUCGCAAGAUUAAAACUCAAAGGAAUUGACGGGGACCCGCACAAGCGGUGGAUGAUGUGGAUUAAUUCGAUGCAACGCGAAGAACCUUACCUGGUCUUGACAU
rnacentral:rRNA from 1 species